GAUGAACGCUAGCUACAGGCUUAACACAUGCAAGUCGAGGGGCAGCAUGAACUUAGCUUGCUAAGUUUGAUGGCGACCGGCGCACGGGUGAGUAACACGUAUCCAACCUGCCGAUGACUCGGGGAUAGCCUUUCGAAAGAAAGAUUAAUACCCGAUGGCAUAGUUCUUCCGCAUGGUAGAACUAUUAAAGAAUUUCGGUCAUCGAUGGGGAUGCGUUCCAUUAGGUUGUUGGCGGGGUAACGGCCCACCAAGCCUUCGAUGGAUAGGGGUUCUGAGAGGAAGGUCCCCCCACAUUGGAACUGAGACACGGUCCAAACUCCUACGGGAGGCAGCAGUGAGGAAUAUUGGGUCAAUGGACGAGAGUCUGAACCAGCCAAGUAGCGUGAGGGAAGACGGGCCCCUACGGGGUUGUAAACCUCUUUUGUCGGAGAGUAAAGUACGCUACGUGUAGUGUAUUGCAAGUAUCCGAAGAAAAAGCAUCGGCUAACUCCGUGCCAGCAGCCGCGGU
rnacentral:rRNA from 1 species